rnacentral:lncRNA from 1 species
CGGCGUACGUUCGUGUUCGUGAGCGGUUGUGAACAUCAAACAGGGUUGGUAAAACACGUUCGAUCUCGUGCCAAGAGUGCGGAUUGAUUGACUUUCCGAGGGCGGAAUGAAUCAUCUUUUACGGCGCAAUUGGCUGAAUCGCUGCUCCAGGCAGUUGAUCAACGAGUUCCAGCUAAACGAAUUUGACGAUGGAUUUUUUCAUCAUCCUUUCUCUCUCAUUUUGCAUUCGCCAGUGCGGAUGCGAGUUCAUGGGGAUGUGAUGCAUUUCGACCUCGAUGAACGUGACGCCAUCGCGUUCACGCUGUUGCAGUCGAUUUCGGUGCACGCAACGGUGACGAUUACCGAACCGUGACAGGCUGUUUUUGAAGAAUGAACCAAUUCACAAUCACGAAGCGGAUAGGGAGGACAACUCCACCAUAUUUGUAAUCUUUUUUCUUUCAAAGAUUCUAUCAAAGAGCAAAAGAAAGAGAGGCGUUGCCGUGAUGCUCCAUUGCGGAUCUCUUUCGGCGUCGGUUGACGUAAAACGAUAAGCAAUGAAGUGGGUCAUCACGUUCUGUCGCGUUCGUUCACCACAGAGGAGACAAUGUACCCUACAAGUAUGUCAAUCGAUGCUGGAACACGGUCUCCAUUCCAAGUCCCUGGGAUCGACGCUGAUUCUGUUGCUCUUUUUUUUAUUGUCGAUCGUUUGGUUGUGUUGGUUUUGGGAUUCUUUUGUGACAUUUUCCCGUGAUUUCACGAUGAAACAUUUCUGUUUUUUUUUAUCCUUGGCCGUUUCUUUCCCUCUUUUUUGAUGGCGAUUUGUUGGUUGACGCCAAAAAAGGCCUCGUGAUUCCAGUAACAGACCACCGACUCUUUUUGAAAGAUCGCGUGGAUGGAGGCGGAUGUUGACUCUCUACUCACGUGAUUCUGUCUGAUUUGCAAUCAGUAGCCCUGACUGCCCACGGCAGCUGUAGACAGCCUCUCUUUCUCUCUCUUUCUUUCUUUCUUUCUCUCUUUUCGACAGUUUUCUAUUCCUGAAAAAAAAAUAAAAAGAAAGAGAAAUCCAACAGUAAAAUGAUGACUCUCGCCAACAACAUCCUGGUGGAACGUGCUGUGCUCGCUCGAACUGCGUUCAAUUUGUCCCGAAUUCUUUUGCAGUCAGCUCCUAAUAAUUAUUUACGAGCCUCAUAUGCGUACCUUAAAUAGUGUGCCCACUAAAUACUUUUAAAACGUUUGACUGGUUUAAACAGCCUAUUCACGCAAUCACGUUCGACUCACGAUUGCAUCUUUCAUACGGGCCAGUGGUGUAACGAAGUCGCGUAUAAUGACCGUCUGAAUAGACGGACAUCGUUUGCAGACAACUGAAUACAAACUAAGAAUUUUAAUGGCAACAGUCCAUGCAUAACUGGCCUCUCUCAUUCAAAUGGCUCGCAUUGUUUAGGGAUUUUUUCCUUGGUCUGUUUGUCUUGCGUGUCGGAUCGAGAGUUCAUUUGGUCCCGACGUUUCGAACAUUGUUUUCUGGUUUAGCGAUGAACACCGUAAACGAACAAGUGGGAAAUACAACAGCAACCGCAAAUCACGAAUUUAUGACCGAAUAAUGCCAACUUGAAAAAAAAAAAAAAAAAUCUUCCUGCAAUUAACGAAUUUGGAUGUCGGUGCAAAGAUUCACGUGCGGUUUCUAUAGUUGGUCGGAGGCUCAUUAUUAUGGCGUUAUACUCACAUCCAGCGGAGGUUGACGUCAUCACGCAGCCCUUCAACACUUUAUUGUUAAUAACCUGUUUAUUGUUUCCUUUUUGGCCGCUUUUUCCCCACAGAAUUGCGGCUCAUCGGAGGUUCUUUGAAAUGACGACAUCUGGAACGAAAACACAAGGUUCAUCCCUGCGUCAACCUUGGGAAUUCCAGAUGAUUUUGCGUGCAGUUCGUGUUCAACAAGUGGUUCAACUGGUUACGCAUUUCUCAAUUUGAAUCAACAUUUCCAUGUUUUUAUUUGACUCUAAAAAGGCAUGACGCGCUCAAAUCAGUUUAUUGAUAACAAACAUAUUUUUCGUUUUCUUGUUCUCGUUCUCCAGUCAUUACAUUUAAAAACAAAAAAACCCUUGCAACAUCGCGGCCCUGCAAUAACUAUUGAAACAGGACUCGUAAAAAUUCGUUGGGUGGGUAUCGUGUUUAAAUAACUCGCAAUCCCCUGCAAGGAUUGUUUCAGUUGCAUUAAAAGUCGAACUUUGUUUUAUGUCGUUUUCGCGAAACCAUCAAAAUAUAAAGAAUAUUGCUAAACA